rnacentral:lncRNA from 1 species
GUCCCUGGCAUCCCAGCCCCCUGGCCUGACGAGGUUGGAAGGCUCCUUGGGCCCCCACCACUCUGCUGCAGCCAGGGUGGGUGCAGGGCUGGGAGGGUGAGCCACGAACUUGACAUCGGUGACCUUCACUGCCACCUGGUGGACAGCCUGGGAGUGGUAGCUGGUGGGCUGGGCGGCGGAAGGGGUGCAGUGUCCCGGACGAAGACGGCUGAGCAUCGUGGAGACCAGCAUAGAGAGGCCACAGCAAGUGGGGUGUGACAUCAGGGACAAGGGAGAGGUCACAGACUCGGACAGUGGCCGUCCUGUGCUGGCCCCUGCAUCUGGGUGGUUGGCAGGUGGAGCACCAAGAUACAGGGUUGAUAGGACUAGGCUGGAAUCCUGGACUCUCUCUGAUCCCGGCAAAGUCACAGAAGCUUCUCCUGUCCUGUCGCUGGUCUUUGGAAGGGAGGAAUGACACCCUCCUCCUGGGCUGGCGCGGGGAAGAGAAGCUCCUGCGUGUGAAACAGCUCCACCACCAAGCGCCUGCAGACGAGCGGUGUGUUCUGCCUGGAACCUGCCGAGGGAACGUGUGGGGAAGGUGUGGCCGCCCUGGGAGGCUCAGCUCUGCAGGAAAUUCGCUCCUUCUGAUGUGCGUUUCAAACGGCCCUAUGACAUCUUUUUCUUAAAUUGAGCCAUCCUGAAGGUGUGAGGCAGAUCUCCUGGUGGUUUUGUUUGUUUGUUUUUCAGACAGAGUCUCGCUCUGUCGCC